UGCACGCGUUUGGUAACCAUAAAACAACGUUGAACGUCCCGCUAUAAAUAACGACUGCCGAGGACUGUCCACCAUACACUGCCUUCAUCAGCCAAGAUGGUGAGUCUCAGGCAAGUUUUCUUAUUCCUUCUGAUCGCUACAUACUUCAAGCAGGACGGUCUUGCAAUAGGGACAGGGAUGUGUCAUGGCUGUCAAUCCAUCAGUUGUUGUCUUAGGAAACUUGGAAUGAGAUCUGACGCAGUAAAGUAUCUCAGCAAAAAGAAUAAAAUGAAUCAAUUCAAGGCAUCUUAUGACGAAGAACAAACAAGAAUGCCAAUAUCGUAACCAGAUUUAAAUACUGAAAACACUUGCUCAAGUGUCGUCUAUCAAGAAUGAAAAGGAAUGUAUAAGUAACUAGAUCAACUGGACUUAUAAAUAUCUUAUAAAUCUAUAGAAUAAUAUAAUAAAGUUUCUAUYAAAUAUUAUAUCUC